UGGCCCACUUGCUGUACUCUCCUUGUGGUGUGGCCAGAACUGUGGCUCUCCUUUCACCUCACGCCCUCAGAUCAAUGGCUGUCGGUGGCCAUUCAUUCAGAACUCCCUCAAUAAGAGUAUUUUGUGCAAAAAGCCAGCAGAGCCAGCUGCUUGGACCCAGGGGUCCUUGGUUGUUCCCAGGGCCCAGGUCAUGCCCUGUAAGAGUGGAGCUUAUGAAGUUACCCACACACCUAUCUCCAGAGACUCUCAUUUCCAACCUGCUCGGGACCCAAGAAGGCUCAGUUGUUCAGAUCUAAAAACGCAUUACAUAAUUUUCCUCGCCAUUCAUUCUUCUAUAUGAUAGCAGGGAGAAAAUCCGCUUUCGUGCCUUGACAGAUGUGCGGUUGCUAAUUUAACUAGGGCUGCUUGGAGGAGGGAAGAUUCUGUCCUGCUGCGGGCCCUGCUGUGCAACUCAACUCAUGACCGAUCCUGCAGAUCACAGGAGACCCCGCAGUGCUGGAAGAACCCAGAGCUCAGGGCAAAGGGGAGCUUCGAGCGCUCCUAAAAUAUAGGUCUUCGCCUAUCAUUUUAAAAUGAGGUUUCUUUUCUUCUCCCCAGCUUCUGC
rnacentral:lncRNA from 1 species